GAAUUCAGUGAACCAUCGAAUCUUUGAACGCACAUUGCGCCCGCCAGCACUCUGGCGGGCAUGCCUGUCCGAGCGUCAUUUUCAACCCUCGAGCCCCCCCGGGGGCCCGGCGUUGGGGG
rnacentral:rRNA from 1 species